UUCACAAAGCUUGAAUAGAGUUUAGAAAAGAUGCUUGUAUGUGUCAGCCAGGCUCACAUGUUUUUUGUGUUGUGUUUCCUGGUGGAGGUGACUCAGUAGUUCAGAGGUGCAGGGCUGGAAGGUGAGAGUCCUGGGGUGUAUCUGGGAAUAGGAAGUAGGAAUAGUUUAGAAAUUUGGAAUCAAUUGACAGACAGGUUGGUUAGUAUUUUCUUGAUAUUGAGUCAAAAGUUUCAAAUAUUGAUCUGUCGCAAGUCAUGAGAAUGGCCAAUUUUAUUUCCCAUUGAUUUCCCCCUUAUGCUUUAAAUGUGUGCUGUGCUGUAAAAAUGUGCAUGGAUGGGAAAGGGGUGUGGAGAAUUUGUAGUGACUUGUAUGAAAAUUUGGCUUUUUUUUUUUGGACUGUGGCUGGUCAGCUGCAGAAUGUUCUGUUUAAGGAACUGAUAGCAUCUUGGGUGGAGCUAGGAGCAGAAUCAUGUCUAAUCACAUACUUACCAACUUCCUGGCACUAAGAAAAUUAUCACCAGGCAGCAGCUACCGGGCUCAUGUAACUUUAGUUCUGGACAGGCACAUCUGAACUAAAUCAUUUUUGAAGUAAAAUUUUUUUGAGCAAAUGUAGGCAUUACUUGGCUUCCUCUUUCUCGUGAUGUUU
rnacentral:lncRNA from 1 species